CUACUAUUAAACUUAAGGUUUGUUCUCCUUUUUACAGGAUUUGCUUGGUGAAAAAAACAAAAUGAAAGUGUAUGCCUGGAGACAGCCCUAUAGAACUAAACAUUGCUGCUGAAAAUUUAAGAUUUUUCUCUUCUUGUCUUCUGGAAAGCGUAUCAGCAAAGCAGUUUCCCAAACUCCCAUUUUGCAAUGUAAGUAGUGUUUAUUUGGGGGACUCUUAGAGUCCUCUUUCAGAUGGAAUCAGAAACAUGAACUACCAAUAAACAGAAGAUAACAGGAUUUGGACUCUUGAAUGGGAUGGGACUCUUGAAGAUUCAAAGUUUGGCAGACUCUUGAAGGUUGAAG
rnacentral:lncRNA from 1 species